rnacentral:misc_RNA from 1 species
CACGUAGGGGGCAAGCGUUGUCCGGAUUUAUUGGGCGUAAAGAGCUCGUAGGCGGCUCGGUAAGUCGGAUGUGAAAACUCCAGGCUCAACCUGGAGACGCCAUCCGAUACUGCCAUGGCUUGAGUCCGGUAGAGGAGUGUGGAAUUCCCGGUGUAGCGGUGAAAUGCGCAGAUAUCGGGAGGAACACCAGUGGCGAAGGCGGCACUCUGGGCCGGUACUGACGCUGAGGAGCGAAAGCGUGGGGAGCAAACAGG